CUCAUUUGUGAAACAGUCUGGUAACCUCCAUACUCCUGAUUUAUUCCAGUUUUCACCUAAAUCAUGACUGAUGACCGCUUACAACAAUCCUCGUAGUAGGAAACCAUAGUAUAACCUACCAAAUCCAACUUUUAAUAUUAUCUCCUGAUUUUUUCAUGACAUCUCUAUCUGAAUGGCUUUUGUUUCCCUCCAUUAAUUGUCUCUUAUAGUGAUAGUGACAGUCUUCUAUUACCCCCACACAGCAGUGUUUGUAACCAUCCCCAACACAGUAUGUGGUGAUGCCCCCAGUACUCUCUGAACAUUGGUGUGUUCUGUUCAUCUGCUUCCCUAUCCCCAGGUAAGGGCAAUGACUGAUAAGACAUCAUAGACUUCACAUUAGCCAUCCCUGUAGGACCCCCAUUAACAACUCGUACAAAGUCUUUUGAUGACCAUUACCCACUAAUACAGUAUCUAUGACUCUUCCAUUAAAUCCUGGUAAUACCUAUUUCCCUAUUUGCCCCCAAUAACAUAGUGUCUGCUGGUUCCCUGUUGCUCACAUUGCUUCAUCAGACCACUUAGUAUGGCUCCUGCAAGUCCCCCAGCAUUGCUUGUCCAAGUCCCCACUGUUUGCAUGGACAGGAACCCUGUGGGGAUGGAGAAGGGAUAAGGAGAGGGUAAUAGCCUCAUACACACUGUCCAGGGAAUUGUUGGCCUGGAGUAGACUGGGGAGGCUCUGGGGCCCCCAGGAGAUCACAUCCUGAGAUACCGACUUACUACAUGAGUGAUGCAAGCAAAAUAGCUAAAGUUGUCAACAUGGAUUAAAAUCCUGGUGCCAACCCUGAUGCCCAGUAACCUCCCCUGAGCCUUGAUUGCUUCACCUGUAAAAUAGAUUUAUGGAAGAUGAAGGGAUUUAAUAUGGUUCACAUGAGGGGAGCAGAGCUAGUGCAGACCAAGGAGAGUGUCCCUAUUGUUAAUAAUAUUACCAGUUAUAAAUUGACACAAGACCAACCUCUGAAUGGCUGUACCCAAACCUCACAGAGGGAAAUGUAUGUUAUUUUAUAAA
rnacentral:lncRNA from 1 species